rnacentral:rRNA from 1 species
UACGGAGGGUGCAAGCGUUAUCCGGAUUUACUGGGUUUAAAGGGUGCGUAGGCGGUCAGGUACGUCAGUGGUGAAAUCCUCAAGCUUAACUUGAGAACUGCCAUUGAUACUAUCUGUCUUGAAUAUCCUGGAGGUGAGCGGAAUAUGUCAUGUAGCGGUGAAAUGCUUAGAUAUGACAUAGAACACCCAUUGCGAAGGCAGCUCACUACGGGAUUAUUGACACUGAGGCACGAAAGCGUGGGGAUCAAACAGG